CAGUAGCGUAUAUUAAAGCUGUUGCAGUUAAAAAGCUCGUAGUUGGAUCUUGGGCCCAGGCCUGCGGUCCGCCGUGAGGCGUGUACUGCAGUCCUGGCCUUCCUCUCGGUUUUCGCCCGGUGCCCUUAAUUGAGUGCCAGGAGAGGCCGGAACGUUUACUUUGAAAAAUUGGAGUGUUCAAAGCAGGCCUCGCGCCUGAACAGCAGAGCAUGGAAUAAUGGAAUAGGACCUCGGUUCUAUUGCGUUGGUUUUCGGAACUCGAGGUAAUGAUUAAUAGGGAUAGUUGGGGGCAUUCGUAUUUAACUGUCAGAGGUGAAAUUCUUGGAUUUGUUAAAGACGGACUACCGCGAAAGCAUUUGCCAAGGAUGUUUUCAUUGAUCAAGAACGAAAGUUAGGGGAUCGAAGACGAUUAGAUACCAU
rnacentral:rRNA from 1 species